GAAUGCUGAGUUCCUGCUGGGGGACCGGAAAGCAAUGAAGGGACCAAACAUCACAGCGUUUCUUCACUUUGACACUGCAUUCCAGCUGAAGCCUCAUUUAAAGGUCUGACAUGAUGUCCCCGUCAAUCACAGAUGAUAGGAACGCACAGUUGACUACUCAGCUUGAGAAGUAAACCGCUUUUUCAGGAUGUUGUCUCCAUCAUAUUUGUCCCACUGUAUUGGGGCAAGUCAAUACAGGUUUUAAACCUUUUAACAUACAUUUUCACGUUUCAGCCUUGAGAAAAGGUUGAAGGCCAUGGAGAAGAGAAACUGGAGAAGCUGGUCUCUUCAACACUGCGCAGUAAUUUUGGAAAGUCUGCAGACUAAGAAGACUCACUGUCUGCUGGACACAAUCUAUAGGCUGGUCCUGGAGCGCUCUUUCUAUUGUGGCCUGGUUUGAUUUGAUUUGAUUUUGCAGAUGGACAAACAUCGGAGAGAAUAAAACAGCAGAUCAAUGCCGACAAUGGAAGGAACAAGUCACCUCAAGACGUAUGUGGAUAUUCUCCAGCAAGCAUAUACAGUCUGGUCCCAGGUGUCCAACAGCUUGGGGGACAGUCUGCUCCGGGCAAAGCAGUGUGCAGUGAUGCUGCAUAACAUAUGCCUUAGGGCAGCAGAGGAGAGGCACCAUCAAGGAGGUGUUGCACAUAUAACUUCCCAAGAUGGCGUAGCAGUGAAGACGUGUUUGUUCGUCCUCUCGUGUACUUUUGUAUUUUUCUUAUUUUUUGUAUAUAUAUUUCAAUUUUAUUUUCAAUCUCUUUUCGAUUUUUAUUUGAUUAUAUCUUCCGGUAACCUGCCUCACCCAAUGUGAUACGGAAUCGCUUUUAUUUUUAAUUUUAGAACACAUUCAAGAACCUCCAGAAGCUAACCAGCUAAUAAGCUACAAGCUAUUUAGUCAUGCUAUUUUACCUUCUGCACAGAUACAAGCCCUGUUUUUAGCCUGGAUAAUACUCGCCAGUCUACCAGUAUCGGACUGUCUCUCCACAACAACGCCAAAUUCCUGCCAUAAUCCCUGGACCACUACUUCUGAUCUUCACAGCUAUCUUGCGCUCACCGUGGCACCCAGUACCGAAGCUAUCCCUGAGGCCCACCUCCCAGCCUACUCAGCUGUUCACCCGAACCCCACUCAUACACGGCUAGAGCCCAAUACACCACCGGAUCCUUGCUGUAAACUCUGGACCUUGGCACUGGAUCACCGCUGCUACCGAUUGGCUAUAGUGGCUAACGCCACUGCCACGAAGCUAGCACCAGUUAGCCGUGAGCCAGGCGCAUCUCCCGGCUAGCAAACUAAAUUCUACAAUACCUCUUUCGCCAUCUGGCUUGGAUUCUCUGUCGACACGGCGCCCCGCCGCACAACCACGACUGGUCUGCCGACGAAUACUCCAUCCGCUGUGCCUUCAACCGGCCUCCGUCGGAGCAGACGCUCCUACUAGCCCCGGGCUACUAACUUUAAACGCUGUGUCGCCUGCGUGCUAGCGUAGUGGCGGCUUCCCUGUUCCAUCUACUGCUGCCCCAUGGACACUAUGAUCACUUGGCUACAUAGCUGAUGCCUGCUGGACUGUCCAUUAAUCACGGUACUCCGUUCUGUUUUUUAUUUUUUUAUAUGUCGGCCCCAGCCGCGAACUCAGGCUCUGUGUGUAGUUAAUCCGACCCUCUCUGCCUAGUCAUCACCAUUUUACCUGCUGUUGUUGUCUCACAUGUUGUUUUAGCUAACUCUCCCAAUCAACACCUGAGAUUACAUUAUGCCUAGCUGUAUGUCUCUCUCAAAUGUCAAUAUGCCUUGUAUACUGUUGUUCAGGUUAGUUAUCAUUGUUUUAGUUUACAAUGGAGCCCCUAGUUCCACUCUUCAUACCCCUGAUACCUCCUUUGUCCCACCUCCAACACAUGCGAUGACCUCACCCAUUAUACAACCAGCAUGUCCAGAGAUACAACCUCUCUUAUCAUCACCCAGUGCCUGGGCUUACCUCCGCUGUACACGCACCCCACCAUACCCCUGUCUGCGCAUUAUGCCCUGAAUAUAUUCUACCACGCCCAGAAAUCUGCUCCUUUUAUUCUUUGUCCCUCAACGCUCUAGGCGACCAGUUUUGAUAGCCUUUAGCCGCACCCUCAUCCUACUCCUCCUCUGUUCUGCGGGUGAUGAGGAGGUAAACCCAGGCUCUGCGUGUCCCCAGGCACCCUUGUUGACUUCUGUGAUCAAAAAAGCCCUGGUUUCUUGCAUGUCAACAUCAGAAGCCUCCUCCAGAAGUUUGUUUUACUCACUGCUUUAGCACACUCUGCCAACCCUGAUGUCCUUGCCGUGUCUGAAUCCUGGUUUAGGAAGGCCACCAAAAAUUCUGAGAUUUCCAUACCCAACUAUAACAUUUUCCGUCAAGAUAGAACUGCCAAAGGGGGAGGAGUUGCAGUCUACUGCAGAGAGAGCUUGCAAAGUAAUGUCAUACUUUCCAGGUCCAUACCCAAACAGUUCGAACUUCUAAUUUAAAAAAUUACUCUCUCCAGAAAUAAGUCUCGCACUGUUGCCGCCUGCUACCGACCCCCCUCAGCUCCCAGCUGUGCCCUGGACACCAUUUAUGAAUUGAUCGCCCCCCAUCUAUCUUCAGAGUUCGUUCUGUUAGGUGACCUAAACUGGGAUAUGCUUAACACCCCGGCAGUCCUACAAUCUAAGCUAGAUGCCCUCAGUCUCACACAAAUAAUUAAGGAACCAACCAGGUACAACCCUACAUCUGUAAACAUGGGCACCCUCAUAGACAUUAUCCUGACCAACUGGCCCUUCAAAUACACCUCCGCUGUCUUCAAUCAGGAUCUCAGCGAUCACUGCCUCAUUGCCUGUAUCACUGUCAAACUCUCCCUAAAACACUUCUGUGGUGACAACUCCACCAGCCCUAUUUAUGAUAUCAUUCACUAAAAUGAUACCUUUUCUUUUUUUUUUCUUUGAAAAAUACGUUGUUGUUUUUUUAUCAGUGAGUAUAUUUGAGUUCAACCACAAUAUUUGUUAUAUUAUUUGUUUUGUCUUUAUAGGUGGAUUAAACUGAAAUUGCAACCAA